rnacentral:misc_RNA from 1 species
GAUGAAGAACGUAGCGAAAUGCGAUAAGUAAUGCGAAUUGCAGAAUUUCCGUGAGUCAUCGAAUCUUUGAACGCACAUUGCGCCCGCCAGUAUUCUGGCGGGCAUGCCUGUCUGAGCGUCAUUUCAACCCUCAGCCCCCGCUCGCGGGGCGCUGGCGUUGGGGAUCGGCCGUCCUCGCGGCGGCCGGCCCCGAAACACAGUGGCGGUCUCUCGCGGACUCCCCUGCGUAGUAGCACUACCUCGCAGAAGGGACGAGCGGGCUGACCACGCCGUAAAACCCCCCACUUCUCCAGGUUGACCUCAGAUCAGGUAGGAAUACCCGCUGAACUUAAGCAUAUCAAUAAGCGGAGGA